UACAGAGGGGGCAAGCGUUGUUCGGAAUUACUGGGCGUAAAGGGCGCGUAGGCGGCCUUCUAAGUCGAACGUGAAAUCCCCGGGCUCAACCCGGGAACUGCGUCCGAUACUGGAAGGCUUGAAUCCGGGAGAGGGAUGCGGAAUUCCAGGUGUAGCGGUGAAAUGCGUAGAUAUCUGGAGGAACACCGGUGGCGAAGGCAGCUCGCUGGGACGGUACUGACGCUGAGGCGCGAAAGCGUGGGGAGCGAACAGG
rnacentral:rRNA from 1 species